GGGGAAUAUUGGACAAUGGGCGCAAGCCUGAUCCAGCCAUGCCGCGUGAGUGAUGAAGGCCCUAGGGUUGUAAAGCUCUUUCGGCGGGGACGAUAAUGACGGUACCCGCAGAAGAAGCCCCGGCUAACUUCGUGCCAGCAGCCGCGGUAAUACGAAGGGGGCUAGCGUUGUUCGGAAUCACUGGGCGUAAAGCGCACGUAGGCGGAUUGUUAAGUCGGGGGUGAAAUCCCGAGGCUCAACCUCGGAACUGCCUUCGAUACUGGCAAUCUUCGAGUCCGGAAGAGGUGAGUGGAACUCCGAGUGUAGAGGUGAAAUUCGUAGAUAUUCGGAAGAACACCAGUGGCGAAGGCGACUCACUGGUCCGGUACUGACGCUGAGGUGCGAAAGCGUGGGGAGCAAAC
rnacentral:rRNA from 1 species